UACGUAGGGGGCAAGCGUUGUCCGGAUUUAUUGGGCGUAAAGAGCGUGUAGGCGGCCAUGUAGGUCCGUUGUGAAAACUCGAGGCUCAACCUCGAGACGCCGAUGGAAACCAUGUGGCUAGAGUCCGGAAGAGGAGAGUGGAAUUCCUGGUGUAGCGGUGAAAUGCGCAGAUAUCAGGAAGAACACCCGUGGCGAAGGCGGCUCUCUGGAACGCAACUGACGCUGAGACGCGAAGGCCAGGGAGCAAAGCGGG
rnacentral:rRNA from 1 species